GACGUAGGGCGCGAGCGUUGUCCGGAUUUAUUGGGCGUAAAGAGCUUGUAGGCGGUUUGUCGCGUCUGCUGUGAAAUUUCGGGGCUCAACCCCGAACUUGCAGUGGGUACGGGCAGACUAGAGUGUGGUAGGGGAGACUGGAAUUCCUGGUGUAGCGGUGAAAUGCGCAGAUAUCAGGAGGAACACCGGUGGCGAAGGCGGGUCUCUGGGCAGUAACUGACGUGAGGAGCGAAAGCGUGGGGAGCGAACAGG
rnacentral:rRNA from 1 species